UGUCCCUUGAGCCACGGUGCCCAGUGCCGCAGUGCCCGCUCCGCUCUCCACCGCCUCCUCCCGAGCUCCGCGCGCCGCCUGGAGGAGCCUCUGUGCCCUCGCUACGGGCCGGUCCAGCUUGAACGUGCCACAGUGCUGGGUGUCGGGGACUGCUCGGGCCCUGGCAAGGCUGAGGCCACCAUCUGGUCUGGAUGUUUCUGUCAACUUCCCCUAGAACGGAGAGUGGAAGAGCCAGACCAGGAAGGCAGGAAGGAAAGAAAAGGGAGAGCAGACGGCAAGGAAGAGACACCCAACCCUCACAUGUCCCCUCCCCUCAGCCUCAGUCGGUCAGGGAGCCCUAGGCCUUGACAGGGCCCCUUUGAAUAUCGACUGUCACAAAGCCCCAUUUCUGGGCAUAGUUACUUAGCUUCCACAAUGGGCUAUGUGGGACCAGCUGUGCAGGCUCAGGAGCCCCACAGAUGAGCAAGACCCAAGCCUGUCCCCCAAGAACUCACAAUCUCAUGGAUUGAAGGCAUGAGGAAUAGGAGGAGUAGACAGACAGGGUCACCUUCCAUCCAGCCUGAAACGUGCCCUGAAGAGGCAAGUCCAUUCGACUGGAGGCAUAGAGGAGAUGAUGUCUCCACUUGAGAGUUUAGGGAAGAAGGGGAGCCUGGCGUUGCCACUGCCAGGAUAUGCCAGAGGCAGGGCUGUUUUAACCCCAGGAAAGAACACAUACAAGUUCAUCCACAGAGACAUAGCCCAGGCUUCUUUCUGGGGGAAUUCAAAUAAGUUUGAGAUCAUUGUGGAAGUCCUGACAAUGCCGUGGCCCUCUUCUCAGGAAUCAAGGAUCCAACUUGAGCAUCACCCGGCUGGACUGUCCUGUUCUUGCAAUCCUUCCAGGAAUAGAUUGGCUCAUGACCCAACACUGAGGAGGUCCCUUGUACUGAUGAGACAAGAUUAUGAGAAAAUGGGUUUAAUUUAAAGAAAAUGUUGAUAAGCGUAACAAACAUUCACUCUGCAGAUUACAUAUCAAUGUUAAAGAGUCACCAAAACCUCUA